rnacentral:misc_RNA from 1 species
GCCAUAUUCAUUCAAGCAUCGGAGCAUAACGUGUCAAGUUGCUUCCGGAAAACAAAAAAACAUAGCCCAUAUCCUUUAAAGUAAUGUCUGCAUGAAUUUAAUUGUCAAUUGCUCUGCAAAUUUUAUAUUUGUUUGGCAGAGAAGGUUUCUCGGUUGACUUCUUGCUUGCUGUAGGGUUGAAAAAUCACAAAACCCAUUUGAAGAAAACACUAUCCUCCAGAGCUGUUUACAAAGACAGGACUACGCAUGUACUUGUACUAUUUCUAUGGUAACUCUGUACAGACCCACCAGAACGCAGAUGAAAGGUCUGGAUAUGAAAAAAAAAAAGGGGAGAGAAAUAAAAUCUUUCACAGGUACAAAAGAAACCUGAAGCUGAAAUCAUAUGGCAUCACUUGUACCAGCUGUGAAAGAGGGUCUCUUCCCCUUCUCUCAAGACAUUUAACUGCUUCAUUCCUCAGUUCAUCAGGUAGCUGUAGACACACCCAAUCGAGCAUCGAUUCUAUGUCCUUUGCAAAGUCAAGUAGAUACCAAUCUAAUAGCUUAGGAAUUAUUAAUUUUUUUUGUCCUUGAAAUCCCAACUGCUGCCUGUAAAUUCUCUCUCUUUGCUGCUUCUAACUCCUCUUCAAUAUGAGAGGCUGUAUACACUCUUACCUGCAAUUUCUUCAAGCAAUCAGCAAGUACACAUGACCCCCCAAAAAAAGAAAUGUUGUAUAUCAUAAAGACUAUUCUUGAUUUGGAAAUAUAUAUAUAUAAUAAUGGCUACAUGAAUCAAUUAAGCAUAGCCGAUCUCUAAACCUGCAGAUUGCUUGCUCAAAAUAAAUCUUUGGAACACAGUUAGCUGACCAAGCCCUUAAACUAACUAGCCUAAAACAGGAAGAAACGUACAGCAGGGGAUGACCAACUUCCACAGGAGAGUGCAAAUGUAACCAAAGGUUCAGACCACUCCAAUCCAAAUAUGCUGCGAGUUUUCAUCUCAUCAUUUUUUUUAGAUUUUGAACAGGUAAAUUUCAAGUGAUAAGGAAGUCUCAAGAUGAAAUGUUCAAUGGUAAUUGCAUUCAGUAGUUGUCCCCCUACAGUAAUUGUUGCCUGAGAAAAGCAUAAUAGGAAUUAACUAAAUCAAAAUCAGUUGCCCUUAAGUAAAACUCAGAGUACCUAGAGCUAAUCAUUAAUGAUCAUAUGCUCCAAGGUUGCCUGAAGAUAGUAUUUAGCAGCUCAUAAAGAUUCAUAAAAGUUUCUGUGGAACUCAUAUUAGAAAGUCAAAACAAUAAUUAGAACAUUGGUAUUUAGAUGUUGGGCAGGUAGAUCUUGACACUGAAAUUGAAUUCAAGUUCUAACUUAUGGAUGACUAUUCUCAAUUAGAUAAACACUAAUAAAUUAAGCCAUAGAUCCAUUUUGGUGAAACCCUAAACAUUGGAAUUAAAAAGAAAAUUUGAAUUAUUAUAUUAAAAAUUUUGAAUGGAUAAAUGGCAAGAUAAGUAGAUCCUACCUUUUGCAUUAGUGCUACAACCAUUUCAGGAGUCUUGGGUAUCCCAUGCUCCAAAAUUGCAUUCAUCAUGCACGAAUUAUAAGUGUUUAUCCAGAAAGCAAGCUUCUGCUGAUGGGUAAGACCCUCCAAAUUUACAGAGGCAAGUUUCCCAAGUAGGAACUUUAGUCUAUGGAUCAAAAACAAGGCAUUUGUCGUGCGGUUGAGAUCAAUUGAACUAGCUUCAAUUGCACAAAGAUGCUUAUAGGGACCAAUAUCUCUAGCUCUGGACUCUGAAGAGAUAGCAUAAGGAUCCCAAAUCUCAAUUUCUUCUUUGCACUCCAGAGAAACAAAGGCUGAUCGUGAGAGUAAAGUUCCUGAUUCUACUGAUUUGUCCUUAAAUGUGCUAAUCCUUAACAAAAUGCUUGACAAACACUUCAAUAUAUCCUCAGAUACCUCAUUCGGUGAGACUGUGAUGUUAGUUUCUGAUACUUUAUCCUCUGAAGAGCCAGAAGAGCUUUCUUGUGCUCUUUCCUGCUCUAUUAAUCUGCACUCUAUCUUUAAAGGAUCCAAGGACUUCUCAGAUUCAUGCUUGUAUGAUACUCUCUUAAUUGGAGUCACAAUUUUUACAGUUUUCUCGCGUGGAGAUUGCUUAUCCUUCACGGAAUUAGUACAUGACUGAUUCUCCUUUCCUCUCCCAUCAUCCAAUGAAGAGGAAUAGGGUUUACCAUAAGCUUGUUUGGAACUAUGUGCUAAUCGAUCGGCGAUAGUGUCGGAGGAAAUUAGCUUUCUACUUGAAGUGCUUCUAGCAAGGGAAGAGUGAGGCCUGCCUGCAAAUGCAGCAGAAUUGAACUCAUUAUGCGAAAGGGACUUCGAUCGUGCAUGUUUUGGUCUUGUAGGGGAAGGUUGGGGUUGGUCAAUUGCAUCAUUGGAAUUCUCCACAUUCUUCUUGGAGGAGAUGUAGACAGCUUCCUGAUAGAGUCCUUGUCUAAAAUUCACAACUUGCUCUUCAAGGCGAACAACUUCUUCUUCUAAAACAGCUACUUCAGCUAGCAGCUCUAAUGUAUUUUGGGGUAGAUAAGGAGGCAAGCGAGGUAGAGCACCCAAAGGCCUAGUAAAAGCCCUCUCUAAUGCUCUGUGAACAUUCUCUUCAUGUCUAAGCUUCUUCUUUAGCUUAUCAACAUCUUGUAGCAAGGCCAAUUUCCUCUCCCUGUUUGAUCGACGCCGAUUAACAGCAGAUUUCUGGGCAGCCUUUGCUCUGCUUCCUUGAGUCUCCAUCUUCUCCUUUGCAAUUUCAAUAACAAAUGCUAUUGGUAAAACAUUAUUAAAGGACCAGGCUGCAAUUAGGAAGGGGCCAAAAAAAGCCAAAAAAGCAAAAGCACAAGCUGAAACUAUUCUUUUCUUGAGAUAAGUGAAAGAACCCAAUGCAGAUUUUGGAUCUAAAGUUGCAUACUUUUUUUUUUUUUCAGAAGCAGAUUUUGUAAUCUGCAAAAACGAUUUAAAAGAAAAUAAUCCAGUUUCACAAAAGAAUAUGUAUAAUAAAUCAAAGUAACAGAAACUAAAAAAGCAUUAGCAGAAUUAAAGCCCAUUUUUCUUCUUGAAAACCCGUUUCAGAUUUAUCAUUUCCCAAUAGAAAAGAAUAACAGGAACCCAUGUUCACAUACCAUGAGAAUUGUUGAAUGUAACAGAGAGAAAGAAGAACAAGAGAGGAAAAAAAAGAACCAAAAAAAAAGUAUACUUUAUCAUGGUUUAAUGGAGCUUUCAUUGCCUGAAGAGCAGUGCGGACUCGAGUGUUCAUCUUUUUCUCACUUGAAAACGAAGGAACUAUGCACCAAGAUCAAUUAUAACCUGAAAAAGAUGACUGAUAAUAAUUCUCCAAAAAUGGGGAAAUAGAAAGAGAGGAGGAAAUUGCAGAAGCAAAAUACUUGAGUUUUAUAUUUUCUUCUUUUUUUUUUUAACAAAAAGCGGGAAAAUUGAAUGGAAAGAGGCCCAGAAACAGAAAUGGUGGGUAGAGGCGAGUGCCUGCUGCUCUGCUCAAAGUGCUUAACAGAAGCAGUUUAAUUUUUUGUAUAUAUUAUAAGAUCAUAAGAUAAAGAAAAAGAAAAUCUCGAAGACUGUGUGAGAAGAGAGAAGAAAGCAACAAAAGGUUACAGCAAGAAGAAGAAAGAAAACGACGAGGAGGAUUGGAUGGAGCUAAAAAGCGUCAUCCAAGAAAAGGUUAACGGUCACAGAUGGUCACAGACAAAACAAAGCUCACCGAUCAUUAAAAAUAAUCAAACAAAGACACAGACUUUCAGGCUGAAAAUGUUCUAUUUUCUUGCAUAACUAUGAUGCUUUUAGCAUUCAAGUUCAGCUUCAUGCUUGCAUGCAAGUGUUCAUCGAGUGAAGAGAGGAGAGGAUGGAUCAUGGAUGGACAGAGCUGGGUCGCAAUAGAAAGUGGAAUGCUACUGGGUGGGUGACCACUUACAAGUAACAACUCUGUUUCAUCAUCACCAUUCAUCACAUAUCCAC